UACGUAGGGGGCAAGCGUUGUCCGGAAUUAUUGGGCGUAAAGCGCGCGCAGGUGGUGGAUUAAGUUGUGGGUAAAAGGCAAUGGCUCAACCAUUGUAAGCCUGCAAAACCGGUUCACUUGAGUGCAGGAGAGGGGAGUGGAAUUCCCGGUGUAGCGGUGGAAUGCGUAGAGAUCGGGAGGAACACCAGUGGCGAAGGCGACUCUCUGGCCUGUAACUGACACUGAGGCGCGAAAGCGUGGGGAGCGAACAGG
rnacentral:rRNA from 1 species